rnacentral:rRNA from 2 species
CUCAAAGAUUAAGCCAUGUGGUAAUUCUAAUCCAAGGAAAGCAGGCGCGCAAAUUACCCAAUCCUAAUUCAGGGAGGUAGUGAGGAGGGCAAGUCUGGUGCCAGCAGCCGCGGUAAUUCCAGCUCCUGCGGCUUAAUUUGACUCAACACGGGGAAACUCACCUGGUGGUGCAUGGCAGGUCUGUGAUGCCCUUACACACCGCCCGUCGCUAGUACUAAAAGUCGUAACAAGGU